AAGAAGGCGUUUCCCAUGCCGGAAGCAGUUACGAAACAGAACGAUCAAACAGUAACGAGAUUUGGCGGGAGAAAAACUAACUGAUUCAAGUGAAUUCUCAGAAUUACCCUUCUAUCUCUAUGAAGGUUAUGACUAGUAAAGUAGUAGGAUGUCAAAAACAGCAACCUAGUAGUGUUUAGAAACAGUAAGUCCAAGUACAAUGACCAUAGCAGAUGAUAGGAGUGUGUGAGAUAAUGAUCCAGCAGAGGAUGGAGUGAGAUUGGAGCGGCCGCUUCCGGGUGUUGCGGAUGGGAUAUCGGGAUUCACUGGCGAAGAUGAUGGAGUGGUUGCUUCAGGCUGUGGUGGCAGAGAAGGUGUAAUUGGUGAGGGGAGUACAGAAGAACCUGUUCAAACAAAACAAGUUCAAACUGCGGUUUGCAGCAGCAAUUGCAGCCACAAUGUAAAAGUUAUUUGCCGCCAAGUCUUUGCCAAAAAUCGCGACACGACAACAACCGGAACAACCAUUAUGUACCUUGAGGACUAAGAGAUGGAGCAGCUGGAGUAGAUGCUGGGGAAAGAGAUGGGCCAAAAGACGCUGGUCCUGUCAAAGUCACUCAUAAGAUUUAGUAAAACUGAAACAGGAAUGUAAAUUUUAGGCAUACUAGAGUAUCGCGACGCAGUUUACCUGGAGCAGGAAGUGGUGAACCUGAGGCUGCAGAAAAUAACACAUGUUGUGUUAAUAACGUAAAAUUACUAUAAACUUUAAUUUUUGUUCCAUAAAAAAGAAAGAAUGAAGAUUGAGGAAACAGUACUUUUGCAUUGAAGUGGAACACCGGGCAAGUUACAAGCACGGGGAAGAGAGAUAGCUAAGGUUCUGUUGAU